rnacentral:rRNA from 1 species
UACCAGCACCCCGAGUGGUCGGGACGAUUAUUGGGGCCUAAAGCAUCCGUAGCCGGUCCUACAAGUCUUCCGUUAAAUCCACCUGCUUAACAGAUGGGCUGCGGAAGAUACUAUAGGGCUAGGAGGCGGGAGAGGCAAGCGGUACUCAGUGGGUAGGGGUAAAAUCCUCUGAUCCAUUGAAGACCACCAGUGGCGAAGGCGGCUUGCCAGAACGCGCUCGACGGUGAGGGAUGAAAGCUGGGGGAGCAAACCGG